rnacentral:lncRNA from 1 species
GGAUGGCAUUGGCUUAAUAAAGCGGUUCCUAACUUUGGAAAGGUCUCCCUUAUGAGAUGUGCUGCUAAAUGACUCCUUUCAGUGGGUUCUCUUUCGGGAUUUCGGUUGGUGCAGCUCUUCUCCUUCAUGGCUCUGUGGUUAUGCAGAUGGAACGGCCUGAUUAGGAAGACUGAAGGACGGAGACUGGGAACGGAGUUCCUGGACAUCAGUGGGACCUUCUGCCUGCCCGGAGGGGACAGAGGUGCUGCAGCCUUGGAUUAUGGGAUGCAGGUGGAUGACCAAUGUACAGCGUGGACCUGGGACCUACUGGGGGAAGUCCUGGAGGAAAAGCACUGCUCACAGAUCCAGACGCUCCUGGGGAACUGGUGCCACCAGAUAAAGCUCAUUCCUGAGCUCAAGCUUGUUGCCUCCUGCUCAGCAACUGAUAAGGGAGCUGCGGUGCUUGCUUGGCCAUGAAAUAACGCAGGGAAACUCCAGUAAGACAGGUCUCAGCCUCUGUUCUGUAAAGUAUCUGUUGCACAAUUGCGCCGGGCGAUGCUGCUGGCACCUUAAUGUUGCCUCCCCUCCAGUGCUCCAAAAGUAAUGCCUCCUAUUUUAUGAUGCUGCCCCACGGUGUCGGAGUCAGAUGUUGGUGGGAUGUGGCAGUAGAGGUGGUACCUUCCGUGUAUCUGAAUACUCCAUUCCCUGCUGUGUGUGAUGUGAUGGAUGGCAGCAGAGGGGCAGUCUGUCAGGAUGGCAUCUGACGUGGAAGUGAGGAUGGGGCAAAGGUGUGAUACUGAAUACCUCCACGCAGGAAAAGAUGGCACCCGCUGACAUUCCCUGACACCUGGUGAGUGCUGAUGGGGCACAGCGAGGCGGUAGGUGCCGCGCUGCAGAGUGGAGUAGUAUGCAGGCUCUCCACCGCUGGCAAAAAGGCGCAGCUCACGGUGGUGGCCGUUAAAGAACGGUGUUAUGUAGCUGAGAAUCCGCCCUAUCGUUGCGCUCGUUGUGGUUUCCGUGGGAACGAGCAGGAGGCAUUACUUUCGGAGCGAGCGGCCCAAGGCGCGGUCCCUCCUGGGGCCGGAAGGGCCGCGCGGUGCCGUAGCGGAC